rnacentral:rRNA from 1 species
CCUACGGGAGGCAGCAGUGAGGAAUAUUGGUCAAUGGACGAGAGUCUGAACCAGCCUAGUAGCGUGAAGGAUGACUGCCCUAUGGGUUGUAAACUUCUUUUAUAUGGGAAUAAAAUGUUCCACGUGUGGGAUUUUGUAUGUACCAUAUGAAUAAGGAUCGGCUAACUCCGUGCCAGCAGCCGCGGUAAUACGGAGGAUCCGAGCGUUAUCCGGAUUUAUUGGGUUUAAAGGGAGCGUAGGUGGAUUGUUAAGUCAGUUGUGAAAGUUUGCGGCUCAACCGUAAAAUUGCAGUUGAAACUGGCAGUCUUGAGUACAGUAGAGGUGGGCGGAAUUCGUGGUGUAGCGGUGAAAUGCUUAGAUAUCACGAAGAACUCCGAUUGCGAAGGCAGUUCACUGGACUGCAACUGACACUGAGGCUCGAAAGUGUGGGUAUCAAACAGGAUUAGAUACCCGAGUAGUC